GAAAGGGAUGUGACUUACCAAGGUAUGGGAAAGGGAUGAGACUUACCAAGGUAUGGGAAAGGGAUGAGACUUACCGUAUCAAGGUAUGGUAAAGGGAGGUGACUUACCAAGGUAGGGGGAAGGGAUGUGACUUACCAAGGUAUGGGAAGGGAUGUGACUUACCAAGGUAUGGGAAAGGGAUGUUACUUACCGUAUUAAGGUAUGGGAAAGACAGGUGACUCACCAAGGUAGGGGAAAGGGAUGUGACUCACCAAGGUAUGGGGAAAGGAGGUGACAUACCAAGGUAUGGGGAAGGGAGGUGACAUACCAAGGUAUGGUAAAGGGAGGUGACUCACCAAGGUAGGGGAAAGGGAGGUGACAUACCAAGGUAUGGGAAAGGGAGGUGACUUACCAAGGUAUGGGAAGGGAUGUGACUCACCAAGGUAGGGGAAAGGGAGGUGACUCACCAAGGUAGGGGAGAGGGAGGUGACUCACCAAGGUAGGGGAAAGGGAGGUGACUCACCAAGGUAGGGGAAAGGGAGGUGACUCACCAAGGUAGGGGAAAGGGAGGUGACUUACCAAGGUAGGGGAAAGGGAGGUGACUCACCAAGGUAGGGGAAAGGGAGGUGACUCACCAAGGUAUGGGAAAGGGAGGUGACUCACCAAGGUAUGGGAAGGGAUGUGACUUACCAAGGUAUGAAAAAGGGAUGUGACUUACCUUACCAAGGUAUGUGAAAGGGAUGUAACUUACCAUGCGAAGGUAUGGGGAAGGGAUGUGACUUACCAAGUUAUGGAAAAGGGAUGUAACUUACCAUGCGAAGGUAUAAGAAAGGGAUGUGACUUACCAAGGUAUGGGAAAGGGAUGUGACUUACCAAGGUAUGAGAAAGGGAUCUGUUUUUCCAAGGUAUGGGAAAGGGUUGUGACUUAUCAAGGUAUGGGAAAGGGAUGUGACUUACCAAGGUAUGGGAAAGGGAUGUGACUUACCAAGGUAUUGGAAAGGGAUGUAACUUACCAAGGUAUGAGAAAGGGAUCUGUUUUACUAAGGUAUGGGAAAGGGAUGUGACGUACCUUACCAAGGUAUGGGAAAGUGGUGUUACUUACCAAGAUAUGGGAAAGGGAUGUGACUUACCAAGGUAUGAAAAAGGGAUGUGACUUACCUUACCAAGGUAUGUGAAAGGGAUGUAACUUACCAUGCGAAGGUAUGGGGAAGGGAUGUGACUUACCAAGGUAUGGGAAAGGGAUGUGACUUACCAAGGUAUGGUAAAGGGAUGUGACUUACCAAGGUAUGAGUAAGGGAUCUGUUUUUCCAAGGUAUGGGAAAGGGAUGUGACUUACCAAGGUAUGGGAAAGGGAUGUGACUUACCAAGGUAUGAGAAAGGGAUGUGACUUACCAAGGUAUGGGAAAGGGAUGUGACUUACCAAGAGAUGGGAGAGGGAUUGGAAAGGGAUGUGACUUACCAAGGUAUUGAAAAGGGAUGUUACUUACCGUAUCAAGGUAUGGGAAGGGAGGUGACUUACCAAGGUAUGGGAAAGGGAUGAGACUUACCAAGGUAUGGGAAAGGGAUGUGACUUACCAAGGUAUAAGAAAGGGAUGUUACUUACCGUAUCAAGGUAUGGGAAAGGGAGGUGACAUACCAAGGUAUGGGAAAGGGAUGAGACUUACCAAGGUAUGGGAAAGGGAUGUGACUUACCGUAUCAAGGUAUGGUAAAGGGAGGUGACUUACCAAGGUAUGGUAAAGGGAGGUGACUUACCAAGGUAGGGGGAAGGGAUGUGACUUAC